rnacentral:lncRNA from 1 species
CCACAUUUCGUCAUUUCUAUAAAGCACCUGUUGAAUGUUAUAUUGUAUAAUCCAUUGAGCUAAAAGCCACUGGACAAACUCCGUUCUUCCUCAUUGCUCUAUGCUAUUUACAAAUGGGCGUGGGACAGAAGAAACAAAUGACUAGAGUUUAUUCACUCAGUUUCCCAUUUCACUCUUGAGGAGGAGAAGAGUUUUGCUUCAUGUGUCCAUGCUCUCUCCACAGGCCUGCAACACACACAGCAGAAAGAAGACUGGUGAACUUUGGCUCAUGAAAUGAGGAAAUGCCUAUGUGUUAAUGAACUUUUAGACUUCCCUGAAAAUGUUUAUUAAUGGACUCCUUAGACUUUCUCAUCCAGGUCUCAAGACAGUGGAUACACUGUUCAAAAUGAACAGUCCAGCUUUCAUCUAGCAUCUCACAAGGACAAGACUGCCUCUGGCAAAGAAGCAUUUGUCGUUCAUGGAGUUGCCAUUCACCAACCUGGAAGUGGCCUUCAUCUUGCUGGCUUUUGUUGUCUUCUCGCUAUUCACUCUGGCUUCCAUCUACGCUGAUCCGGAGGAGAAAAAUGCAGAGAAAGAACGUCAAUGGGAGGAAGAAAGAAGAAAAAAGAAGUCCAAGAAGAAGAAAAGCAGUCCAGAGGGUCAGGGAUUAACUGAAGAAAUUUAGAGUUAAAAACUUUCUGUCCUAAGACCUCAGAGUUAGAAAUAUUCUCCACUCUGGAGAGGAUGGAUGCCAAAGUUUCCAUCUGGAAUCAGGAAGAUGAAGGGAUGCCCAAAAGGAUGGAAGAAGCUAUUCACUGAUGAGACUGAAUCCAGACAUAACUGUAAUAAUCAUUAGCAAACUCCAUCCUGGGAAGUAAUCUUGGCACCUUUUUUAUGACCCCACUUCAUAGCCUGGAGAAUGAUAAUGCUCAUAGUAAUGAGACUGCGACCAGAGAUGAAGUAUCCAAGUCACAUGAAUUGCCAUUUCCAAAUAAUGGAGAAAGGAAAGUCUUCAUUCACUUUUUUUUAUUUGAUUUUCCUUACCAAUUUCAUUAAGG